rnacentral:rRNA from 1 species
GGGGAAUUUUGGACAAUGGGGGCAACCCUGAUCCAGCCAUGCCGCGUGCGGGAAGAAGGCCUUCGGGUUGUAAACCGCUUUUGGUCGGGAAGAAAGGGUUCUCCCUAAUACGGAGGACUGUUGACGGUACCGGCAGAAUAAGCACCGGCUAACUACGUGCCAGCAGCCGCGGUAAUACGUAGGGUGCGAGCGUUAAUCGGAAUUACUGGGCGUAAAGCGUGCGCAGGCGGUAAGUUAAGUCUGAUGUGAAAGCCCCGGGCUCAACCUGGGAAUGGCAUUGGAAACUGGCUUGCUCGAGUGUGGCAGAGGGGGGUGGAAUUCCGCGUGUAGCAGUGAAAUGCGUAGAGAUGCGGAGGAACACCGAUGGCGAAGGCAGCCCCCUGGGCCAACACUGACGCUCAGGCACGAAAGCGUGGGGAGCAAAC